GAUGAACGCUGGCGGCGUGCUUAACACAUGCAAGUCGAACGGAGAUGGCAAUUUCGAAGCAAUUAGUUUACUAAGAGCGGAGAUGCUGCCAUCUUAGUGGCGGACGGGUGAGUAACGCGUGGGUAACCUGCCUUACACUGGGGGAUAACACUUAGAAAUAGGUGCUAAUACCGCAUAACAGGGGAAGACGCAUGUCUUUUCCUUGAAAACUCCGGUGGUGUGAGAUGGACCCGCGUCUGAUUAGCUAGUUGGCGGGGUAGCGGCCCACCAAGGCGACGAUCAGUAGCCGGCCUGAGAGGGUGAACGGCCACAUUGGGACUGAGACACGGCCCAA
rnacentral:rRNA from 1 species